CCCAAUGAUGGAAAUUUAAUGGCCGCGGUAUAUUGACCGUGCGAAGGUAGCAUAAUAAUUUGUCUUUUAAUUGAGGACUAGUAUAAAUGGUCGAACAAAAAGUUAGCUGUCUCUGAGUUAUGUCUUGAAUUUAACAUUUAAGUGAAAAGGCUUAAAUAAUUUAAGGGGACGAUAAGACCCUAUAAAUCUUUAUAUUAAUUUGUUGUUAAAUUGGAAAGUAGAAUUAAUUCCGGGUUUAAUAAUUUUGAAUAUUUUGUUGGGGAGACAGAAGUGUAAAUAAAUAACUACUUUAAAAANAAAGUUAAUGAUAUUUAAUGAGGAGAUCCUUUACUAAGGAUUGUAGAANAAGUUACUUUAGGGAUAACAGCGUAAUUUCUUUUGAGAGUCCAUAUCGAAAAGGAAGCUUGCGACCUCGAUGUUGAAUUAAAGAUCCUAUAACGGCGCAGAAGUUAUAAAA
rnacentral:rRNA from 1 species